UACAGAGGUCCCAAGCGUUGUUCGGAUUUAUUGGGUUUAAAGGGUGCGUAGGCGGCCUUGUAAGUCAGUGCUGAAAUAUCCCGGCUUAACCGGGAGGGUGGCAUUGAUACUGCAGGGCUUGAGUAAAGUUGAGGUUGGCGGAAUUGACGGUGUAGCGGUGAAAUGCUUAGAUAUCGUCAAGAACACCGAUAGUGAAGACAGCUAACUAAGCUUUAACUGACGCUGAGGCACGAAAGUGUGGGGAUCAAACAGG
rnacentral:rRNA from 1 species